AGUUUCCGUGAGGUUUUUUCAGUGGGAUUAUUUGUGUCCCUGUGGCUCUUCAGGGAGCUUGCAGAAUUCUAGCUAAAGAUAAGAAGGGCAUCGCUUCAAAUGGGAGGCCAAUCAAUGCAGCAUUAGGAAGGCUUCAUUCAGCUCAGCACCACCUUGGCAUAGAUGCUGGCUCCUAGGGUGGGCAGAUUCUGGUCCUGCACCAACCCUGACUGGUGACCUUCUUGUCCAUCAACACCAUGUGGGUCCAGGUGGCUUCUGUGGUCCCUUCAGCUCAAGCUGCUGGUUGAUACUCAGUGAAACACCACUGUUCACAAAAACAAAUGAAGAUCCCGGUGUUACACAUCCAAUCGUUCACCUCCUUCCAAGACUAUGACAUUCCAGGAAACCUUCACUGCUAAGAGGAACUAAGAUCUAGAGUAUCUCCUCGAGGAAGUACAACUGGUAAUUAAUAAGAAGUCCAGUGGCUCACACCUGCGAUCCCAGCACUUUGGGAGGCUGAGAUGGGCAGAUUGCUCGAGCCCAGGAAUUCAAGACCAACCUGGGCAACAUGGCAAAACCCCAUCUCUACAAAAAUACAAAAAUUAACCAGAUGUGAUGGUUCAUGCCUGUAGUCCCAGCUACUCUGGAGGCUGAUGUGGGAGGAUCGCUUGAGCCUAGGAAGUCAAGGCUGCAGUGAGUCAUGAUUGCUCCGCUCCACUGCACUCUGGCCUUGAUGAUAGAGUGAGAACCAGUCUCAAAAAAAAAAAGGUCAUUUUCUAAGCAUUUGUUGAUUCAAUACUGCCCACUAUGUACACUGACAAUUAGACAUAAUUUAAUUUCAGCUCAUGGUAUGAAUGGAGACAAAAUGAAAUCAUUUUAAUGCACAUUAAGGCAAUAUAGUGCCCUUAAAUAAAAAGUUGAAGUUCAUAAGGGACCAUCAUUAAGAUUUAACUUUGUAACAAAUAUUUUGUUUUUGUUUGUUUUAUUUUUAGAUUUGCAUAAUAAAACAUUCAUAUUCUUACCCAGUCUUCCUUGUGAUGAAUAACAUAUUUGGAAGAUGGCCACACUGUGGAGCAAAGCCGGAACCCAGCUAAUAAUGUGUGGGCUCCAUUUAGUGUCUAACUGUAGUGUAUAGACUUUGAAUUUUAU
rnacentral:lncRNA from 10 species